UACAGAGGUCUCAAGCGUUGUUCGGAUUCAUUGGGCGUAAAGGGUGCGUAGGUGGCGUGGCAAGUCUGAUGUGAAAUCCCGGGGCUCAACCCCGGAACUGCAUUAGAUACUGCCAUGCUUGAGCACUGGAGAGGAGACUGGAAUUUACGGUGUAGCAGUGAAAUGCGUAGAUAUCGUAAGGAAGACCAGUGGCGAAGGCGAGUCUCUGGACAGUUGCUGACGCUGAGGAACGAAGGCUAGGGGAGCAAACGGG
rnacentral:rRNA from 1 species